rnacentral:pre_miRNA from 1 species
UCUUAUGAAAGAACAAAGAAAGUAGUUUCCUGAAAUGGAAUCUACUUUUGGUAAAGAUGCUGUAAA